rnacentral:rRNA from 1 species
GACAGAGGGUGCAAACGUUGUUCGGAAUUACUGGGCGUAAAGCGAGUGUAGGCGGUCUGAUAAGUCGGGUGUGAAAGCCCCGGGCUCAACCCGGGAAGUGCACUCGAAACUGACAGGCUAGAGUACUGGAGAGGUUGGUGGAAUUCUCGGUGUAGAGGUGAAAUUCGUAGAUAUCGAGAGGAACACCAGAGGCGAAGGCGGGUUACUGGGCUGAUACUGACGCUGAUGCGCGAAAGCUAGGGGAGCAAACGGG